AUCCAUUCGAUGUAUCGCAUUGUAAACAUCGAUGUUUUCAAUACAUCGAUGUAUAUCGAAUAUCCCUAGGUUCUCUAUUUCCUAUGUAUUACUUUUCUCUAUGACCACUACUAUUUUGUUGUUUUUUGACAGGCGAACUGUGUGUGUACAACAAACUUACCAAGACGUGUUUUUUGUGUUAUUUAUUUAUUCUUAGGGGCUGUUCUCCUCGGAUAAAGUAGGAUAGAGGACGAGAUUUCUGCGUAUUUUCUAAAAAAAAAAUUAUAUCGCUAUGGAUACAAUCUUGAAAUUGGACGAUAAUGAUACUUUUGAUUUGGUUCUAGAGGAGUUGUUGCGAAAAAACCAUGCAUCAAGACACUCAGUAAGUCCUGAGAUAGCAAAUGUAAUAGAAGCUGCCAAAGAAGAUUUACGAACAUCCUUGAUUAAAGCCAAUUUUAAUAUUGAUGAAGUAUCUGACCGUAUACUCGAUGGUAAUUACUGUCAAGAUAGAGCUUCAAAGUUUGUUACGCUAUUAAAAGAAACAAAGUCAGAGUUAUUUCGUUCCAUCAUUACACAUUACAAUAGUUCCUACGGUGAUGUUUGUAUGGACUUUGAUUGGUUUGUGAAGCUUGUACUAGGCACAAGUGAAUCUAAGGUCAUAAGAUAUCCUAUAAUACAAUUGGUAUUGUCAACUGUUAACUGUAAUAGUCAGCGAAAGCAGAAACUUUGUGAAAUGGACAAGGAUGUAUUAACUAGAUUAAUAAAAAACCUGGAAACUUCUCUGAAAGAAAGUCCACCUUAAUGUUUUGGAUUGAUAUUUAUUUGUUCAUUGCAAUAAUGAGACUAAAUCAGUUUUUAAUCUAUACUAAUAUUAUAAAGCUGAAGAGUUUGUUUGUUUGUUUGUUUGGUUGGUUGAACACGCUAAUCUCAGGAACUACUGGACCGAUUUGAAAAAUUCUUUUUGUGUUGGAUAGUCCGUUAGUUCCUGAAGGCUUUAGGCUAUAUACACUCGGCAUCAAAUAAAUCGCACCUCCCGCGACAAGCACUUAUCAAACGUAUGCAUCCCCACUUCCCACCAACAUUGGUACCAUUUGAAAGCCUAGUUCUAAACUUCAUUUCAUUAAAGGAAAGGCUUUUACCCCAAAAAUGUGUCUUUACAACGAUCCAGAGUCACUUCUUCAAAAAAUAGGUAGUUACGCUAUAGCCAUUUUUUAUGACUAUAAAACUGUUAAGUUGGGAUUAAUCGCUAUCCAUCUGUUAAAGAGGACACGUGAGAUCUUUAUUUGGUUUUAUAACCAUAAAAAUUGGUCUAAUUGAUCCCAGAGGUGAGCCCAAAGUGAGGUAUAUUUUCAAGUCACAUUUAUGGUAUAUGUUAAUUAUUUAUUUAGAAAUGAAAUGUAUUUUUCUUGAAGGAUAUUUAUUGGGCUUUCAAAUAACACCAAUAUUGUUGGGGUACCAUGAUUGUGUCAGAAGAAAAUCUUUAAAGUUCGCGUCGCGGAAGGUGCGGUUUAUUUGAUGUUGAGUGUAUCAUCACGCUAAGACCAAUAGGAGCGGAGCACCAAUGAAGAAUGUUUCAAAUCAGUGAUUUUUUUCCUUUUGAGAGCUGACGCUGCGUAAACGGUUAAAGUUUCGCAAAAAUCAUGUAUCACAGGAUUGUUCCCCUUUAAAAGUUCUAAAAAAAAGUCCGCGAUAGUAUAAUAUGUCUAUCUUUUAAGGUUGGCUCAUUUUUAUGCAAAAAGAAAUCUGUUUGAUAUUAAUGCAUUAUUUUCGGAGGUUUUUUCAUAAACAUGAUAUUAAUCCUUAUCCAAAUAAAUAAGUUAUUCAUCACAA